GGAGUUUCUCUGUUGUGGACAACUGGAGUGGGGUCGAGCCACUCAGCAUACAACCAGCACCAUCUCUGCCAUGGAUCGGUCGGGUAGAGAACUGACCUUAAGCCACCAUCUCCCGUGAAAGGUUUUUCACAGUGGAAAGACCUAUGGUACACGGUGGACUUCAACGCAUCUCAUGACCAUAUCCACAAAGGCAGCCGGCACACAUCAGGAGGAUAUCAAGGACACGGAGGCUAAAGAUCUUAGAGCAAGGGUAGAGACUUUAGUUUUUGAUUUGCUCCAUUUUUCCGGAUGAGGAUACGUGUCUGUAGAAUUCUGAUUUAAGGUAGGGUAAAUUUUGGUCAGCUUUGCCCUGACCUCCGAGGAGGCAUGUACUCUGGUUAGUUAGACACUAGACAGGGAGAUGCUCCGACUUCGCAAAGAAGAGUGGUGGGCCUGCAAAUUGUUCAACCUCAAC